AAGGAUCAAGAGCCAAACUCUCGCUGUCCCGCUAGCACGUGGGGGUAAAAGGUUCGGUGGUUUUCAGGGCUCUCGAUUCCCCCCAUCAACCUAUCAAGAGGCCGUGCUGCCAAGUUAAAUUUGGAAUAUGCAAGAAGAGUGGAAAUAAUCAAAGAUAUUCCUAAUUCAUUGAGGUAGAAGGCAGACAGCUGUUGAAUUCAAAGAAAUUCAAGAGUUUGAGGUGUGGAAUUUUCAGCUGUUUAAAGAGACCCUGGUCGAUACUGUUCUGUGCUAUGAGAUGGCUGCUCUCUUGAAUCAUGAGCUAUUGUUAUACAUAAGCUUUAUAGUUGUGGAAGUGUGAGAGAGUGAUAUUUUCCAAUAAAAGGUACAACUGUGAUUGAAUAUUUGAUCUAUAGAUAAAUAAAUUGUGAAA